UACAGAGGGUGCAAGCGUUGCUCGGAUUUACUGGGCGUAAAGCGUACGCAGACGGCAUUAAAGGUCGGACGUGAAAGCCCCGGGCUCAACCCGGGAAAUGCGUCCGAAACCAUCUUGCUCGAGUAUGAGAGAGGGAAGCGGAAUUCCUGGUGUAGAGGUGAAAUUCGUAGAUAUCAGGAGGAACAUCUGCGGCGAAGGCGGCUUCCUGGCUCAUUACUGACGUUCAGGUACGAAAGCGUGGGUAGCAAACAGG
rnacentral:rRNA from 1 species